GCUCCCGUAGCACAGUCGGUUAGCGCGUCGUACUUAUAAGCAGUACAGGCGAGUUUCGCUGAGGGUGCUCAAGUAAUGCGAAGGUCGGGGUUCAAUCCCCCCCGGGAGCA